rnacentral:tRNA from 1 species
AAAGGGAGACCUAAUUCAGGUAGGAGACGAAAAAAAGUAGUCCCUACCAAGAAUCAAUCCCAAAAGGUCGGAGCGAGGCAAAAUUGGCUUUCAAACUAGGUACUGGGUUCACAUAAGACCUGAAUCAGGAACAAGGGCUAUUAGCUCAGGUGGUUAGAGCGCACACCUGAUAAGGGUGAGGUCCCUGGUUCGAGUCCAGGAUGGCCCACCUGCACAGGUGGCAAAAACAAAGAAAAGAAGCUCCGAAUCAGCACCUUAUCUUACUCAUAUAGUAAGAGAGAAUGCUGGCUCUGAGUUCAGAGUCCAGAGGAACCUUGAAAACUGCAUAGAGCUAGGUGAAAAAGCCAAAAAAGAAGACCGCAAG